rnacentral:rRNA from 1 species
AUGGGGAGAUCGGCCCUUACUUCCCCACUCUCUGUGGGGUUAGACAAGGGCGACCCCUUCUCCCCAUUCCUGUUCAACAUGGUGGUGGAUGCGCUAGCCGCCAUCCUAGACAAGGCUAAGGAUGUGGGUCAUAUUCGUGGGAUCCCCCACCUGGCUGGCGGCACCGGGAUCCCCCUUCUCCAAUAUGCCGAUGAUACCAUCAUCAUGGUCGAAGGCUCGGAGAUGGACAUCUCCAACCUUAAGUUCCUCUUCCUCUGCUUCCAACAAAUGUCUGGCCUCAAGAUCAACUUCGACAAGAGUGACGUGAUGGUGAUGGGCUACCCUUCAGAGGACUGCCAACUCAUUGCCAACCGACUGAACCGCCGCCUGGGCUCCUUCCCCACGACCUACUUGGGGACGCCCAUUAGUGACUCUCGGCUUACCAUCGCGGACUUGCGCCCGAUCGUGCCAAGCUGCAAACGCGUAUUGAGCCUUGGCAGGGUAGGUGCCUCUCAAAGGCGGCUCGGACGAUCGUCAUUAACUCCUCCCUCUCCAGCCUCCUCUUGUUCCUCAUGA